rnacentral:rRNA from 1 species
UACGGGGGGGGUAAGCGUUGUUCGGAAUUACUGGGCGUAAAGGGCUCGUAGGCGGCCAACUAAGUCGGACGUGAAAUCCCUCAGCUUAACUGGGGAACUGCGUCCGAUACUGGAUGGCUUGGAUUUGGGAGAGGGAUGCGGAAUUCCAGGUGCAGCGGUGAAAUGCGUAGAUAUCUGGAGGAACACCGGUGGCGAAGGCGGCAUCCUGGACCAAUAUUGACGCUGAGGAGCGAAAGCCAGGGGAGCAAACGGG